AAGGGAUUAGUUUAUAAAAAACAAAUAAAUGUCAUUUAUUAAAAACUUUGGAAGUAUCCCUUU
rnacentral:tRNA from 1 species